ensembl:lincRNA
GACAGGAUUUCAUAUUGAGAAGAUGUACUGCUGUAAAUCAAGACUACCAGUUUGUGAGCUGAUAUGCAGUGGAAAUUGACAUCCAGAAGGAAGUCAUAGAGGAAACACCAGCUGAUGCAAGUGCUGCAGAAGAAUUCAAUCGAAUAUCAGGAAGAAAUGUCAUCUGGCAGCAGUUUUCCGGGGUCUUUCAGUCCUUUAGAGGGAUGAGUCUAAAGAAAUUUUCAGGAUGUGUUUUGAUGUAAUUGUAGAGUCGGACUUCAGUGCAGAAGAUGUUGGCCUGCUGACUGUCGUGUGUGAAGAUGUCUAAAGAACCUCAUUAUGGAUGCAAUGUGGGCCUUUAUACUGGAAGGAAAAGUGGUUAUGGACUUUGCCACAUGCAGUAUGUCUCUUUUUUUGCUUUGAUUUACACACUGAAUUCGGACUACCCAAAGACUUUGAGCAAUGCAUUUGAAUUUGUUCAAUGUGUGUUGCUUUUGCUGGGAGGGAAGCGUAAUGUGUUUUAUUCGGCGAGUGCCUAUAUACUGCUGUGCUUUAUGUUUAAAGGUUCAGGUAUAAUGGCAUGUUUAAUUACAAAGUGUUGCUUUUUAACAUGUUGCUGUUUGCAGUGUUACAUUUAGGACUGCAGCAUUUUGGUGUUUAAAACACUUUUUUUUUUUUUACCAAAAAA